CAUAUUGGACAACGGGCGCAAGCCUGAUCCAGCCAUGCAGUGUGAGUGAUGAAGGCCUUAUGGUUGUAAAGCUAUUUCACCGGUGAAGAUAAUGACGGUAACCGGAGAAGAAGUCUGGGCAAAUUUCGUGCCAGCAGCCGCGGUAAUACGAAGGGGGCUAGCGUUGUUCGGAAUUACUGGGCGUAAAGCGCACGUAGGCGGAUUAUUAAGUCAGGGGUGAAAUCCCGCAGCUCAACUGCAGAACUGCCUUUGAUACUAGUAAUCUAGAGACCGAGAGAGGUAAGUGGAACUCCUAGUGUAGAGGUGGAAUUCGUAGAUAUUAGGAAGAACACCAGUGGCGAAGGCGGCUUGCUGGCUCGGAACUGACGCUGAGGUGCGAAAGCGUGGGGAGCAAAC
rnacentral:rRNA from 1 species